rnacentral:rRNA from 1 species
UACGGAAGGCAGCAGUGGGGAAUAUUGCACAAUGGGCGAAAGCCUGAUGCAGCUAUGCCGCGUGUAUGAAGAAGGCCUUAGGGUUGUAAAGUACUUUCAUCGGGGAGGAAAAAACAAAACUAAUAAUUUUAUUUCUUGACGUUACCCGAAAAAGAAGCACCGGCUAACUCCGUGCCAGCAGCCGCGGUAAUACGGAGGGUGCUAGCGUUAAUCAGAAUUACUGGGCGUAAAGAGCACGUAGGUGGUUUUUUAAGUCAGAUGUGAAAUCCCCUGGGCUUAACCUAGGAACUGCAUUUUGAAACUGAAAUACUAGAGUAUCGUAGAGGGAGGUAGAAUUCUAGGUGUAGCGGUGAAAUGCGUAGAUAUCUGGAGGAAUACCUGUGGCGAAAGCGGCCUCCUAAACGAAUACUGACACUGAGGUGCGAAAGCGUUGGGGAGCAAACAGGGAUUAGAUACC